rnacentral:lncRNA from 1 species
GCCUCAGCUGAUGCCAUGUGGAACAGAGAUGAACUGCCGCUGCCGAGCUCUGCCCACGUUGCAGAAUCAUGAGCAAAUAUGUUGUGGAUUGGCUGUAACUCUGCUCUGGGAUCCAGGCUGAAGGAGCAGGCUCUAUCUGGAACAUUACUAGUCUCCAGGCAGAAGAAAAAGAGACAAUGGAAUGGAUGAUUGAAUGGAUGAAUGAACUCCACAGGAAGAUGAGGAAAGCCUUUAUGGAUGGAGUGAGCUUGCAGCAGAGUCUCAAAGGGCCUACCUGGAAUGCCAUGCUCCCUCACCGCCAAUGCUGCCCUACCAAAUUCAGCCCAUAGACCUUCAAAAACCAAUUCAAAUCUCCAAGAAUCCAAGUCAGAAGAAAUUGCUGCCUCCUCUGAAUAAUUAUUGCUGACACUGAUUGCACUCUGUGCUUAUUGCUCAGUCCUUUGAGUUAUCUCGUCAAUAUUUCCCAUUUGUCCUAUAUCCAUCCCCACCUAGGAAUGAAUGGGACUUCAUGAUUCUGUCUUUCUAGUAUUAGAUGUCUUGCUCAGUAAAAAAUGUUUACUGUCUUGUAAAUUAAUUUAAAUAUAUGGUAAAAUAAUA